GUACUGUCUUUGUGCUAAGGUGCAUCUAGUGCAGAUAGUGAAAUAGACUAGCACCUACUGCCCUAAGUGCUCCUUCUGGCAUAAGGGGCUGUAAUAUG
ensembl:miRNA mir18a microRNA 18a